rnacentral:rRNA from 1 species
CCUACUGGUGGCUGCAGUCGAGAAUCAUUCACACUGGGGGAAACCCUGAUGGUGCGACGCCGCGUGAGUGAAGAAGUAUUUCGGUAUGUAAAGCUCUAUCAGCAGGGAAGAAAAUGACAGUACCUGACCAAGAAGCCCCGGCUAACUACGUGCCAGCAGCCGCGGUAAUACGUAGGGGGCAAGCGUUAUCCGGAUUUACUGGGUGUAAAGGGAGCGUAGACGGUUAUGUAAGUCUGGAGUGAAAGCCCGGGGCCCAACCCCGGGACUGCUUUGGAAACUGUGUAACUGGAGUACAGGAGGGGCAGGCGGAAUUCCUGGUGUAGCGGUGAAAUGCGUAGAUAUCAGGAGGAACACCGGCGGCGAAGGCGGCCUGCUGGACUGAAACUGACGUUGAGGCUCGAAAGCGUGGGGAGCAAACAGGAUUAGAUACCCUUGUAGUC